AUAUACAGGCUCAACCUGUAUCCGCCUUGGAAACUAUAUCGCUAGAGUGUGAUAGAGGACAAUGGAAUUCCAUGUGUAGCGGUGAAAUGCAUAGAUAUAUGGAGGAACACCAAUUGCGAAGGCAGUUGUCUGGGUCAUUAUUGACGUUGAGGCUCGAAAGCAUGGGUAGCAAAUAGGAUUAGAUACCCUAGUAGUCCAUGCCGUAAACGAUGAAUACUAGUUAUUAGAUGUUAAGUCUAGUGAUUGAGCUAACGCAUUAAGUAUUCCACCUGAGUAGUACAUUCGCAAGAAUGAAACUUAAAGGAAUUGACGGGGACCCGCACAAGCGGUGGAGCAUGUGGUUUAAUUCGAAGAAACGCGAAAAACCUUACCUGGAUUUGACAUCCCUUGCAAAGCUAUGGAAACAUAGUGGAGGUUAUCAAGGUGACAGGUGGUGCAUGGUUGUCGACAGUUCGUGUCGUGAGAUGUAUGGUUAAGUCCCAUAACGAGCGCAACCCUCAUCCUUAUUUGCUAACAUUUAGUUGAGAACUAUAAGGAAACUGCAGUCGUAAGAUUGAGGAAGGUGGGGAUGACGUCAAAUCAUCAUGCCCCUUAUAUUCAGGGCUACACACGUGCUACAAUGGUUGAGACAAAGGGAAGCUAACCCGUGAGGGGGUGCGAAUCUCAUCAAACUCAAUCUCAGUUUGGAUCGAAGUCUGCAAUUCGACUUCGUGAAAUUGGAAUCGCUAGUAAUCGCAAAUCAGCAAUGUUGCGGUGAAUACGUUCUCGGGUCUUGUACACACCGCCCGUCAUC
rnacentral:rRNA from 1 species